CUUGGUCAUUUAGAGGAUGUAAAAGUCGUAACAAGGUUUCCGUAGGUGAACCUGCGGAAGGAUCAUUAUCGAGUUUUGAACGGGUUGUCUGCUGGCUCGCAAGGGCAUGUGCACGCCUGUCUCAUCCACUCUCAACUUCUGUGCACUUUUCAUAGGCCGGCUUGUGGGUGCGUUCGCGCACUUGUAGGUGUCGGGCUUAUGCUUUACUACAAACGAUUCAGUUUUAGAAUGUCAUACUUUGCUAUAACGCAAUUAUAUACAACUUUCAGCAACGGAUCUCUUGGCUCUCGCAUCGAUGAAGAACGCAGCGAAAUGCGAUAAGUAAUGUGAAUUGCAGAAUUCAGUGAAUCAUCGAAUCUUUGAACGCACCUUGCGCUCCUUGGUAUUCCGAGGAGCAUGCCUGUUUGAGUCUCAUGGGAUUCUCAACCUUCAGCUUUAUUGAUGAAGGCUUGGACUUGGAGGUCGUGCCGGCUCUCGUAGUCGGCUCCUCUGAAAUGCAUUAGUGCGAACGUUACCAGCCGCUUCAGCGUGAUAAUUAUCUGCGUUGCUGUGGAGGGUAUUCUAGUGUUCACGCUUCUAACCGUCUUCGGACAAAUUUCUGAACUCUGAGCUCAAAUCAGGUAGGACUACCCGCUGAACUUAAGCAUAUCAAUAAGCGGAGGA
rnacentral:rRNA from 1 species